AUUUUAUCAUUAUGUGCUUAAUUUGUAUUAAGGCUUGUGUUCAGUAGUAUAGCAUCCAGUCAAUACAGUUAUACAGAUCAAACGAGAUUUAGACUACCAACAACGUCAACAACAAACAUCAAUUUAAGUGCUUUGCCAAAUUCAUGGUGAAUAUAAUUUGACGACUGUGAAAUUGUAUUAAAUAUCUCUAAGUCGAAAUGAAUCGCUACAUACAACUUUUGGUUUUCGUCAUUCUUUUGACACUGUCCAUAAGCCAAGUAUCGGGGUGCCGAGGCCAAUGUUGGACAGAUGUAAAGUUUCGUGACGAAUUUUGUUCACAAAUAUUCAGAUAUGUAUACACUACUAUGGAACCGGCAAAUGUGGUGUGUUACUGUUGUCGAAGAAUUUAAUACAAUAUGUCAACUGCAUAAAUUCAAGACAACAUUACUAUAUAAAGUGUCAUCAUAGAACACGAUAGAACCGACAGCUAUCUUAAUUAUUUUAUUCAUUGAAAAAUAUUUUUGUUGGCCUCCAAAUUAACUGUUAUAAUUUUUCCGUGAUGUUUGUGAUAAUGAUAAUGGUAAAAAACUAAAAACUAAAAAUAUUUUCUAAGGUUUUGAUACAGAAUAAUAAAUGCUUUAUAAUUUAGAUAAUUAUUGAUUACAACAUCAUGCCGAGUCAGCUGUUUGACUGUCACUUCUAUUAUGUUCUAUGACAUCAUAUUAUUUAGAAGACAUCCAGAAAAUUAAUUUGAUAUAAUAGAAAUUCAAUUAUAUUUAGCUUAUCAUGAAAUUAUUUCUGUUUAAAUAUUUUUUUUUUUAUGAUUUAUUUUAAGAGCAUCGUCUAAAAUACACAAUAAAGUUUUAUGUA